UCUCUGCCUUCUCCUCACGACCAGAUCUGACACUUGAUCCAAGCAGGCAAUUGCAAGCAGAAAGUUACCUUUAUCUUCAAAUGCUUUUCUGAAAAUAAUGACAUGAAAAAUAAUUAAGGACCGGAUUUCCUAUCCUCCAUUCUCUUCUGCAUGUACAAUUAUCCACAGAUAUAAAAUUGCCUGCUUUGAUAAUUAUACCCUUCAAAUGAGGGGCAAGUGGCUAAUUAUGCCCACAUGUGGCCGAUUGCACUCUCCAUUAGCCAAUUAUGUGCACGAUUAUUUGUGCACAUAAAUAAUUGUACUCAUGGAAAAUAGCCAUCCUCCUUUCAAGUGCUCCUGCUUUGAGUGGCUGAUGGAGUGAUUGUCACUCUGGAAAUGUACUUGUUGGGAGUGAAAGAGUAUCAGAUACCAGAAACGCACCAGUGACCAGAGCUCGCAGGUGGGCACUGAAGCAAAUGGCAGUAGGAGUCCAGGAGAGCGGGAAGGACUGCGGGACGGAAGGGAGAGACUGUGGGUGAGGAAGGUGCUUCCGAGGUUGGCGGAGCCGCUCAUGUGUGGUGACCUUGGGCAGGUUCAUUAACCUUCCCUCGGUUCUACUGGUUCUGCACACACAAUGAGAAUGAUAAUCAUGCCCAAGUCCCAGCUCUAUUGUAGGAUGGAUCCGACAAUUCAGGAGGGUUUGUCGUCUACUUCGGAUAAAAGCACUACGUGACAGGAGGCAUCAUGAUGUGGGUCAGCACAUUUCCACCUGCCAAGGAGGGGUAAUGACCCUCCUUAGCAAAGCAGGACCUUUGCUAAGGGAAAGGAGAUAUGAUAAGAACAGGAAGCUUGACCCCCCAGGGCACUGAUGAGACACCAGAGAAUGACAUACAGAAUUCAUUCAUUCAUUUGUUCAUUCAUUCAUUCAUUCAUUCACCUCUUCAACAGACAAGAGUCAGCCUUUCACCUGGAGCUUCUCUGAUGAGUAAUGAGGGGAACUUUUAUUUCACGCCUAAGAAAUCUGGCGUGGGUUGUCACAGUUUGAAUGACAGACAAACUCAGUGCCAGUGAAUGUUGUGAGGAGAACGAGUUACCAAAGCCUGAGGCUCCCAGCUCCGGGUGAUCCCCAGCAGUGGGAACGCAGGUGGACUUGCCCAGAGUGCAAAAUAUGGACCUGUGGCUGCAGGCGCCACACUUGCCAGAGAGAACCGGUUCUGCGUCAAUACUUAAGAUGAGACCAUCAGGGGCGUGCUUAUCUGGAAAGAGCCAGUCAGGC